GACAGAGGGUGCGACCGUUGUUCGGAAUUACUGGGCGGAAAGCGCAUGUAGGCGGCAGCGCAAGUCGGGCGUGAAAUCCCACGGCUCAACCGUGGAAGUGCACUCGAAACUGCGCAGCUAGAGUCCUGGAGAGGAAGGUGGAAUGCUUGGUGUAGAGGUGAAAUUCGUAGAUAUCAAGCGGAACACCGGUGGCGAAGGCGGCCUUCUGGACAGUGACUGACGCUGAGAUGCGAAAGCGUGGGGAGCAAACAGG
rnacentral:rRNA from 1 species